rnacentral:lncRNA from 1 species
UCCAGAUCUUCUGGGUCUUCUCUUUUACAGGGGCCUCAAGACUACACAGGUACUUCUGGAGAAUCCGGAAGAAUCAGUGGUCCCUGACUCAAGUCCCUCAAUGUCUUCCAAUGUCAUAGAUAGAUGCCUGCCCCUUCUCUUUGUGGGCAUGUAGUCUUUCUUUGAUCGCAGCCUCUUUAUACCCACAGAUUCCCCCAAGUUAACAACUCGUUGAGUGUUUACUCUGGGGACUUCUUGUUUGGGCUCAUCUUCAGCUACCUCGAAUAUGUGGAAUGAUUUCAGGCUAAGAUGGAUCCAACCAACUUUCAUCCAUGCACCCUGUUCUGGGGCUGAGACAGUAAGGAACAUUGCAAGCUACCAUUAGAUUUCUGUUUUUCCUCAUGACUCUCCUCUGGCAUCCUUAAGCAGCACUGGGCAAGAAGAGCCAGUGGACCAGCUCUGCCAGGAUCUAUCCACCUUCCCAUCUCAUAGCCCAAUCUCCAUCUCAGAAGCCAAGAAAUCCAUGCCUGUUUCCUCUGGUAUCAACCAUUCACGGAAUCCUCCUGCCAGCCCUUGGUGGUGUAAAUGGCAGAUGGGAACAGAUGACUGUGGCCUCUCAGCAUCCUGCCUUCCUGUGGUCCUGGGGCAAGUCCAGCGUCAGAGGGAGAACAUAUAGCGCCUGUAGAGAGAGGGUGGCAUCAGGGUGUCAGGAAAAAUCCACUCUAUAGCCAACCUCCAUCUCCAGGAUCUUCCCAAAUGAUGAAGAGCUGAGCCCUGAGGAAGUCCACACUAUCUCCCUGCUUCGGAUAUUUAACCUGCUCCGGCCUCCACACAUGAAGAUACAGGACAACACAGGUGCACUGUGUGGAUUGUCUGUGGGAGAAGUUGGUGAAGACUUUCUGAAAGGUCCAGGAGGGUGGAGAAGACAGGGAGAAGGCAUGAGCAAAAGCUUCCAGGUUCAGAAGUGACCUUGAUCUGAACAGGUGCCGACGUGUUGGGAUACGGCAAGCUUGGAUGAUUCUUGACAACAAAGAACCUGGAACCAGGAUUUGGACUGCUUGUAGGAAAGUUUAAAUUAUCUUUAAAGCCUGUCUAAAAGUG